rnacentral:rRNA from 1 species
GCAUAACACUGAGAAAUUGGUACUAAUUCCCCAUAAUAUUCGGAGAGGCAUCUCUCCGGGUUGAAAACUCCGGUGGUUAUAGAUGGACAUGCGUUGUAUUAGCUAGUUGGUGAGGUAACGGCUCACCAAGGCAACGAUACAUAGGGGGACUGAGAGGUUAACCCCCCACACUGGUACUGAGACACGGACCAGACUCCUACGGGAGGCAGCAGUGAGGAAUAUUGGUCAAUGGACGCAAGUCUGAACCAGCCAUGCCGCGUGCGGGAAGACGGCUCUAUGAGUUGUAAACUGCUUUUGUACGGGGGUAAACUCACCUACGUGUAGGUGACUGAAAGUAUCGUACGAAUAAGGAUCGGCUAACUCCGUGCCAGCAGCCGCGGUAAUACGGAGGAUUCAAGCGUUAUCCGGAUUUAUUGGGUUUAAAGGGUGCGUAGGCGGUUUGAUAAGUUAGAGGUGAAAUCCCGGGGCUUAACUCCGGAACUGCCUCUAAUACUGUUAGACUAGAGAGUAGUUGCGGUAGGCGGAAUGUAUGGUGUAGCGGUGAAAUGCUUAGAGAUCAUACAGAACACCGAUUGCGAAGGCAGCUUACCAAACUAUAUCU